rnacentral:rRNA from 1 species
CUUGGUCAUUUAGAGGAAGUAAAAGUCGUAACAAGGUUUCCGUAGGUGAACCUGCGGAAGGAUCAUUACUGAAUAACUAUGGUGUCGGUUGUAGCUGCCUCUUCGGAGGAUGUGCACGCCCGCCAUUCUUAUCCAUCCACCUGUGCACCUUUGUAGAGACUAGGACACGCUCUCUGGGCGUGAGUGAGGAUUUCGGUCCUCACGUUUCUGGUCACUACGUUUACACAAACCCCAAGUAUAAUCCAGAAUGUAGUCAAUGGGCUUCUUAGCCUAUAAAAACUAUACAACUUUUAGCAACGGAUCUCUUGGCUCUCGCAUCGAUGAAGAACGCAGCGAAAUGCGAUAAGUAAUAUGAAUUGCAGAAUUCAGUGAAUCAUCGAAUCUUUGAACGCACCUUGCGCUCCUUGGUAUUCCGAGGAGCAUGCCUGUUUGAGUGUCAUUAAAUUCUCAACCUCACUAGUUUUCUGAACUAGUGUAGGCUUGGAUGUGGAGGUCGUGCCGGCUGCUCUCUGAGCGGUCGGCUCCUCUGAAAUGCAUUAGCGAGUUCAUAUUGAACUCCGUCUAUUGGUGUGAUAAUUAUCUACGCCGUGGAUGGGGUUUAGACUUGCUUCUAACCGUCCGCAAGGACAACUUUUGACAAUUUGACCUCAAAUCAGGUAGGACUACCCGCUGAACUUAAGCAUAUCAAUAAGCGGAGGA